ACAGCAUCAAAAAUCUGAAACAAAGGAACCAAAAGAAGGAUCCAUCAGGGAAGGGACAUCUGCCAUUGACUUCUACAUGAUCUCGAUUUUAUGGUCAUUCCCAUCUUUACAGUGAACUUCUUGGCGAUUGGCACACAGGUCUGCAUCAUCUCUUCUUCUUGUGCCCUGCUGAUUUACUGUGCGACCAGUAAAUGGAUUUACAGUGUCUGAAAUCACUCUGCUUGUUGGCAAAUGGAAACUGACAACUAGGCACUCUAGACAAAGAACAGAAUUGGACUCCGUUAACAUGCAUUCCAGGCUGCCAAGAUGAAAAGCUAUAUGAGGCACUGGAAUGGACUGUGCGAGACGCUAAAAGGAAAGUUAUUUUAGGUGCACACAAAAGAAAAUGAUUUUCAGCGGAGAAUCCUUUUUCAUAUACAGCCAAGCGAUGGUUUACCGAGACUCAAAAUCUAUGGACAGCAUGAAAAGAAGGAUACAGGCAACUGUAUAAUUAUGGACAAAGAAUGAAAGAUUAAAUUGAUUCAGAGACUUGCUUUCACUGAUCUUGGACUACAUGGAAAAUUACAAUUGAUUACUAUGGGUUUCAGCCUUUCUAAUAAU